rnacentral:rRNA from 1 species
AGUGAACGCUGGCGGUAGGCCUAACACAUGCAAGUCGAACGGCAGCACAGUAAGAGCUUGCUCUUACGGGUGGCGAGUUGCGGACGGGUGAGGAAUACAUCGGAAUCUACUUUUUCGUGGGGGAUAACGUAGUGAAACUUACGCUAAUACCGCAUACGACCUACGGGUGCAAGCCGGACAUCUUCGGACCUUGCUCGAUUGAAUGAGCCGAUGUCGGAUUAGCUAGUUGGCGGGGUAAAGGCCCACCAAGGCGAGGAUCCGUAGCUGGUCUGAGAGGAUGAUCAGCCGCACGGGAGCUGAAACCCGGGACAAACUCCAACGAAAGGAACAAGUAAGAAAUAUAGGACAAGGAGCAAAAGCAUGAUCAGCACAAACCGCAUGAGUGAAGAAAGCGUUCGGGUUGGAAAGACCUAUUGUUAGGAAAGAAAAGAAGCAGGUUAAUACCCCGCUGUUCGUAAGGUACCCAAAGAAUAAGCACGGGCUAACUUCGUG